rnacentral:rRNA from 1 species
UACAGAGGGGGCAAGCGUUAUUCGGAAUUAUUGGGCGUAAAGGGCGCGUAGGCGGCUUUGCAAGUGACGGGUGAAAGCCCUCGGCUUAACCGAGGAACUGCCUGUCAGACUGUAAGGCUUGAGACCGGGAGAGGUGAGUGGAAUUCCCAGUGUAGCGGUGAAAUGCGUAGAUAUCGGGAGGAACACCAGUGGCGAAGGCGGCGAUCUGGGAAGAUACUGACGCUGAGGUGCGAAAGCGUGGGGAGCAAACAGG